rnacentral:rRNA from 1 species
GCAGUUGAUACUGGAUAUCUUGAGUGCAGUUGAGGCAGGCGGAAUUCGUGGUGUAGCGGUGAAAUGCUUAGAUAUCACGAAGAACUCCGAUUGCGAAGGCAGCCUGCUAAGCUGCAACUGACAUUGAGGCUCGAAAGUGUGGGUAUCAAACAGGAUUAGAUACCCUGGUAGUCCACACGGUAAACGAUGAAUACUCGCUGUUUGCGAUAUACUGCAAGCGGCCAAGCGAAAGCGUUAAGUAUUCCACCUGGGGAGUACGCCGGCAACGGUGAAACUCAAAGGAAUUGACGGGGGCCCGCACAAGCGGAGGAACAUGUGGUUUAAUUCGAUGAUACGCGAGGAACCUUACCCGGGCUUAAAUUGCAGAUGAAUUACGGUGAAAGCCGUAAGCCGCAAGGCAUCUGUGAAGGUGCUGCAUGGUUGUCGUCAGCUCGUGCCGUGAGGUGUCGGCUUAAGUGCCAUAACGAGCGCAACCCUUGUUGUCAGUUACUAACAGGUUUUGCUGAGGACUCUGACAAGACUGCCAUCGUAAGAUGUGAGGAAGGUGGGGAUGACGUCAAAUCAGCACGGCCCUUACGUCCGGGGCUACACACGUGUUACAAUGGGGGGUACAGAGGGCCGCUACCACGCGAGUGGAUGCCAAUCCCCAAAACCUCUCUCAGUUCGGACUGGAGUCUGCAACCCGACUCCACGAAGCUGGAUUCGCUAGUAAUCGCGCAUCAGCCACGGCGCGGUGAAUACGUUCCCGGGCCUUGUACACACCGCCCGUCAAGCCAUGGGAGCCGGGGGUACCUGAAGUGCGUAACCGCGAGGAGCGCCCUAGGGUAAAACUGGUG